GGUUAAGUUAGAAAGGGCGCACGGUGGAUGCCUUGGCACUAGGAGCCGAUGAAGGACGGGACUAACACCGAUAUGCUUCGGGGAGCUGUAAGCAAGCUUUGAUCCGGAGAUUUCCGAAUGGGGAAACCCACUGUUCGUAAUGGAACAGUAUCCAUAUCUGAAUUCAUAGGGUAUGGAAGGCAGACCCGGGGAACUGAAACAUCUAAGUACCCGGAGGAAGAGAAAGCAAACGCGAUUCCCUGAGUAGCGGCGAGCGAAACGGGAUUAGCCCAAACCAGAAGGCUUGCCUUCUGGGGUUGUAGGACACUCAACAUGGAGUUACAAAGGAACGGGGUAGAUGAAGCGGUCUGGAAAGGCCCGCCAAAGAAGGUAAAAGCCCUGUAUUCGAAACUUCGUUCCCUCCUGAGUGGAUCCUGAGUACGGCGGGACACGAGAAAUCCCGUCGGAAGCAGGGAGGACCAUCUCCCAAGGCUAAAUACUCCCUAGUGACCGAUAGUGAACCAGUACCGUGAGGGAAAGGUGAAAAGCACCCCGGAAGGGGAGUGAAAUAGAUCCUGAAACCGUGUGCCUACAAGUAGUCAGAGCCCGUUAAUGGGUGAUGGCGUGCCUUUUGUAGAAUGAACCGGCGAGUUACGAUCCCAUGCAAGGUUAAGCUGAUAAGGCGGAGCCGCAGCGAAAGCGAGUCUGAAUAGGGCGAAUGAGUAUGUGGUUGUAGACCCGAAACCAGGUGAUCUACCCAUGUCCAGGGUGAAGGUAGGGUAACACCUACUGGAGGCCCGAACCCACGCACGUUGAAAAGUGCGGGGAUGAGGUGUGGGUAGCGGAGAAAUUCCAAUCGAACCUGGAGAUAGCUGGUUCUCUCCGAAAUAGCUUUAGGGCUAGCCUCACGUUGUAAGAGUCUUGGAGGUAGAGCACUGUUUGGACUAGGGGCCCUCAUCGGGUUACCGAAUUCAGACAAACUCCGAAUGCCAAAGACUUAUCCGUGGGAGUCAGACUGCGAGUGAUAAGAUCCGUAGUCAAAAGGGAAACAGCCCAGACCACCAGCUAAGGUCCCAAAGUAUACGUUAAGUGGAAAAGGAUGUGGAGUUGCUUAGACAACCAGGAUGUUGGCUUAGAAGCAGCCACCAUUUAAAGAGUGCGUAAUAGCUC
rnacentral:rRNA from 1 species